rnacentral:lncRNA from 1 species
UAUAUAUUAUGCCAUGGGAGUUGGCUAAGCAUGAUGAGUUGUGUAUAGUUUUGGUGUAUGUUUGUAAUGUGCUAAGUUCUAAUGUGUUUUGGUCAUUCUUAAGCAUAGAAUUGGUUGGAAAUUUUGGUAUGAAUGUUAUAUAUUAUUGCUUGUAGGAUUGGACCCAAAAAGGGGUGGCAAACACGAUCAGGGUACACGGGCAUGCCUUGUGGCCGUGUAAGAAAAAUAGUAUUCACCUAAAAAAUU